rnacentral:snRNA from 1 species
AGCUUUGCGCAGUGGCACUAUCGUAGCCAAUGAGGUUUAUCCGAGGCGCGAUUAUUGCUAAUUGAAAACUUUUCCUAAAGUUGAAAUAUUAUAAAGUUAACAAUAGAGUUUUAAUAUUAAA